ACGAACGCUGGCGGCGUGCUUAACACAUGCAAGUCGAGCGGUAAGGCCCUUUCGGGGGUACGACGAGCGGCGAACGGGUGAGUAACACGUGGGUGACCUGCCCUCAGCUCUGGGAUAAGCCUGGGAAACCGGGUCUAAUACCGGAUAUGACUCCAUGACGCAUGUUGUGGGGUGGAAAGCCUUGUGCGGCUGAGGAUGGGCCCGCGGCCUAUCAGCUUGUUGGUGGGGUGAUGGCCUACCAAGGCGACGACGGGUAGCCGGCCUGAGAGGGCGACCGGCCACACUGGGACUGAGACACGGCCCAGACUCCUACGGGAGGCAGCAGUGGGGAAUCUUGCGCAAUGGGCGAAAGCCUGACGCAGCGACGCCGCGUGAGGGGUGACGGCCU
rnacentral:rRNA from 1 species